UGAGCAAUCUGCCAUUCUCAUCGGAAUAAGCGUUGGAAACGACGUCUAAUGCCGAAUACGACCUCCUUUCGCAUGAUCGGAGGUGGAAAGCUCCGGCGGAGAAGGAUGAGCUCGCGGCCUAUCAGCUUGUUGGUGAGGUAAUAGCUCACCAAGGCGAUGACGGGUAGCCGGCCUGAGAGGGUGACCCGGCCACACUGGGACUGAGACACGGCCCAGAUCCGUACGGG
rnacentral:rRNA from 1 species